rnacentral:lncRNA from 1 species
AACAAAGCCAAGGUGAAGGGCAAGCCACAGAGAAGAUCUGCAACAUUGUCUGCUAAACCUGUUCCUCCAAAGCCAGAGCCCAAGCCUAAAAUGGUCCCUGCAAAGGAGAGAAGGUACCCAAGGGGAGGAAGGGAAUCCUGAUUCCAGUAAGGAUGUGAAUAAUUCUGCAGAAAAUGGAGAUGCCAAAACAGACUAGGCACAGAAAGCUGAAGGUGCUGGAGAUGCCAAG